UACGUAGGGUGCAAGCGUUAAUCGGAAUUACUGGGCGUAAAGCGUGCGCAGGCGGUUUUGUACGUCUGUCGUGAAAGCCCCGGGCUCAACCUGGGAAUUGCGAUGGAGACUGCAAGGCUUGAAUCUGGCAGAGGGGGGUAGAAUUCCACGUGUAGCAGUGAAAUGCGUAGAGAUGUGGAGGAACACCGAUGGCGAAGGCAGCCCCCUGGGUCAAGAUUGACGCUCAUGCACGAAAGCGUGGGGAGCAAACAGG
rnacentral:rRNA from 1 species